rnacentral:lncRNA from 1 species
CCCGGGUUACCCCACCAGCCCGACCUCAACCCACUCACGUCCACAGCACGAGCCCCAGCGGCCUUGCGCGGUGCUUGCUCUCUAGUAGCGGCUGACUAGGUAUUGUAUUAGGUUCCAGAGAUACACUGUCCUUGCUCCAUAGUCCACAUGGACAAAUCAGCGAGUGAUCGUGAUGUGAUGUGGUGGAUGCUGUGAUGGAGAAAGACGAAGUGAAAAUAUUCAUGCAUCAGAGUGGCAUCUAACCCAUCUUCCGAGGUCAGGGAAGGCUUUUUGGAAGAGAUGAUAUUUAAGCAGAAACCUGAAGAAUAAAAUAGAUGGCACAGGUGAAAAGGUGGAAUAGAGGAUGUUCCUAGCAGAAGAAGCUGUAUUGUAUGUCAAAGGCUCAGAGGCAUCAGAGAACCGGCAGAACGCAGGGAAGUACAAGCGCACAGUGUGCCACUUUGCGUGUGACCACUGCACCUCCAGGAAGGCCAGGUGCACAUCGCUUCCCAUGCGCCCGGCCUCAUGGCCUUUGGGGGUUGUCGUGUGGAAUGGAGAUGACACGAGUGCUGCAUGUGAGGUCAGGGAAUUGGGUCAGUCAGGAUCUUUGAUUUUGGAGCACAAGCCUUCUGCGUGCUACUGACUGGGUCCUGGCCUCCCUCCUUCCAUGGCAUCGUCGUGAAUGGGAAUUUCCACCACUGCCUCCAUUAGGAUUGCCGACCAUGCCUGGCCAGGACCCUGGGUGUGGAGCCCAACCUGAGACACCCAUCGCCUCUCUUACGCCCAACUGAGGGUUUGCCAAGGUCCAUGUGAGAGGCAGAAGAUUGAACAUGUUGUAACUGUAGAAAGCCCGUCAUCCUUGUGUAUGCACUUGCUGAAAGAUCCACUGAAGAGCAACCUUCAUGAACAUUACCAGGGGACUUGUGCUCCUAUAAAACGCACUGUUUUCCUCACUGCGAGGUGGGUCUCUCACCGCGAUGGACUAUCUGUGAUCACAGAGCACUUCUUCCCUGGGCCUUCCCUGUCACACUGAUGGUGUGAGUAUGUAGGGCAGGGGUGGGAGUGAACAUGUUAAUCUCU